AUGAACGCUGGCGGCGUGCCUCAUACAUGCACGUCGAGCGAACAGACGAGAGUGCUUGCACUCUCUGACGUUAGCGGCGGACGGGUGAGUAACACGUGGGUAACCUACCUAUAAGACUGGGAUAACUUCGGGAAACCGGAGCUAAUACCGGAUAAUAUUUAGCUUCGCAUGAAGCAAUAGUGAAAGACGGUUCUGCUGUCACUUAUAGAUGGACCCGCGGUGUAUUAGCUAGUUGGUGAGGUAACGGCUCACCAAGGCAACGAUACAUAGCCGACCUGAGAGGGUGAUCGGCCACACUGGGACUGAGACACGGCCCAGACUCCUACGGGAGGCAGCAGUAGGGAAUCUUCCGCAAUGGACGAAAGUCUGACGGAGCAAUGCCGCGUGAGUGAAGAAGGUUUUCGGAUCGUAAAACUCUGUUGUAAGGGAAGAACAAGUACGUUAGUAACUGAACGUACCUUGACGGUACCUUACCAGAAAGCCACGGCUAACUACGUG
rnacentral:rRNA from 1 species